AACGAACGCUGGCGGCAGGCUUAACACAUGCAAGUCGAGCGCCCCGCAAGGGGAGCGGCAGACGGGUGAGUAACGCGUGGGAAUCUACCCAUCUCUACGGAAUAACGCAUGGAAACGUGUGCUAAUACCGUAUACGUCCUUCGGGAGAAAGAUUUAUCGGAGAUGGAUGAGCCCGCGUUGGAUUAGCUAGUUGGUCGGGUAAAGGCCUACUAAGGCGACAAUCCAUAGCUGGUCUGAGAGGAUGAUCAGCCACACCGGGACUGAGACACGGCCCAGACGCCUACGGGAGGCAGCAGUGGGGAAUAUUGGACAAUGGGCGCGAGCCUGAUCCAGCCAUGCCGCGUGAGUGAUGAAGGCCCUAGGGUUGUAAAGCUCUUUCACCGGUGAAGAUAAUGACGGUAACCGGAGAAGAAGCCCCGGCUAACUUCGUGCCAGCCGCCGCCGUAAAAC
rnacentral:rRNA from 1 species